rnacentral:rRNA from 1 species
AAAGGCGUAAUGAAAGUGAAGGUUCGCCUAGCGCGAACCGAGGGAGGAUGGACGGUCUAUCGUGGCCGUCCCGCACUCCCUGGGCGUCUCGUUCUCAUCGCGAGAAGAGGCGCACCAAGAGCGUACACGCUGGGACCCGAAAGAUGGUGAACUAUGCCUGGUCAGGACGAAGUCAGGGGAAACCCUGAUGGAGGUCCGUAGCGAUUCUGACGUGCAAAUCGAUCGUCGGAACUGGGUAUAGGGGCGAAAGACUAAUCGAACCAUCUAGUAGCUGGUUCCCUCCGAAGUUUCCCUCAGGAUAGCUGGCGCUCGCUUCUCGCGAGUCUCAUUCGGUAAAGCGAAUGAUUAGAGGCAUUGGGGUCGAAACGGCCUCAACCUAUUCUCAAACUUUAAAUGGGUGAGAUCUCCGGCUUGCUUGAACUGUGAAGCCGCGAGAUAUCGGAUCAGAGUGCCAAGUGGGCCACUUUUGGUAAGCAGAACUGGCGCUGUGGGAUGAACCAAACGCCGAGUUAAAGCGCCUAAAUCGACGCUUAUGGGA